rnacentral:rRNA from 2 species
GGGCUUGACAUCCCACGAACCUGCCUGAAAGGGCGGGGUGCCCGCAAGGGAGCGUGGAGACAGGUGGUGCAUGGCUGUCGUCAGCUCGUGUCGUGAGAUGUUGGGUUAAGUCCCGCAACGAGCGCAACCCUCACCCCUAGUUGCCACCGGGUAAUGCCGAGCACUCGAGGGGAACUGCCAGCGUCAAGCUGGAGGAAGGCGGGGAUGACGUCAAGUCAUCAUGCCCCUUACGCCCUGGGCUACACACGUGCUACAAUGGCCGGUACAAAGGGACGCGAGACCGCAAGGUGAAGCUAAUCCCAAAAAACUGGUCUAAGUUCAGAUUGCAGUCUGCAACUCGACUGCAUGAAGGAGGAAUCGCUAGUAAUCGCGCAUCAGCACGGCGCGGUGAAUACGUUCCCGGGCCUUGUACACACCGCCCGUCACACCACGAAAGCUGUCUGUACUCGAAGUCGCUGAG